UCGGGAAUUUUGGGCAAUGGGCGAAAGCCUGACCCAGCAACGCCGCGUGAAGGAUGAAGUAUUUCGGUAUGUAAACUUCGAAAGAAUAGGAAGAAUAAAUGACGGUACUAUUUAUAAGGUCCGGCUAACUACGUGCCAGCAGCCGCGGUAAUACGUAGGGACCAAGCGUUGUUCGGAUUUACUGGGCGUAAAGGGCGCGUAGGCGGCAAUUCAAGUCAUCUGUGAAAUCUCCGGGCUUAACUCGGAACGGUCAGAUGAUACUGCUUUGCUAGAGUGCAGAAGGGGCAAUCGGAAUUCUUGGUGUAGCGGUGAAAUGCGUAGAUAUCAAGAGGAACACCUGAGGUGAAGACGGGUUGCUGGGCUGACACUGACGCUGAGGCGCGAAAGCCAGGGGAGCAAACGGGAUUAGAUACCCGAGUAGUCCCUGAGCGGGC
rnacentral:rRNA from 1 species